UAUGAAUGAGCAGAUUAGGUUUAGGGAUCUGAUAUAAGAGAUGUCUAUGUACAGUACUACAUGCAGUACUUAUGUACAUAUAUUUCAAACCUGAAGAGACACUUUCCACACAUCUAGCCAACAAAACAAAACAUAAGCAACGGAAACUACGCUUUGGCCUGCUGCCCCCUGUUGUUUCUUUUCUGUCCUGCAGACUCCUGCCUUGCUCUCCUAGUCUGCACGCCUGUUGCCUAUCAGCCAUUAGGCCUUCUUAUACCACUCAACUUCCAUUAUUCCCCUGUCGGAUUGUUUGCCUUGUCAUGCCUCGCCCUGCUGCACAUCGCACACUUCAUUUUUGCUCCUGAGCUUUUGUCUCUCUGCCCUGGAACUUGUACUUUUGCCACCUACUGUCUAUGGCAGGGGGUCGCCUGCAGGCCCCAGCGGCUGAAUGGACAUACGUAUACUAUUGCCAAUGUAUUGGUUAAGAUGCUCCCAUCUCACUUCAACUGAUGGAGGUUUGCACUGACGGCCGCAUCCACCGCAUCACAACCACUGAGCAUUCAUUAAUCAUUGAAAUCAGAACUGGAUGAAGACUGUCUGUCUCAAUCAUGCAUCUAUAUAUUAUUUUUUUUAUUUGUUUCUGCUGCAAUCUUCAUCAACUCAGCAAAGACAUUUUAUCAUCCAGGCGCCAUCUGAUGUAGAAGGACAGCAUGUGCAGAACAAAGAGUUUGUGACACGCAAGUUGACUUGUCCAGAUGGCUGUCUCACUUACUUUUUCUUUUGCAGCUGCUGAGAUGAGAGGUGGCUGUGGUCACGUUCUUGUUGGGUGUUAUUAAUGGCAGCUCUGCGUAAAACACUGCAGCUCUUCGGGGUACAAUACCAGUUGUCCUAAUAGGGUCACAGGUUACAUCCAGAGUAUGGUGGACAAGGGGAUACCCACCAUCACACACACCCACAGACAGGUGCACACACAACUAUCAGUUCCUCACAUCACCUUGCAAAAAUGACCAGAGGGGAAGUGAGGAUCCUGGAGCUUCACUGAAGGACAGAGUGGGCACCUGCCUUUCUGCAGCCUCAAGCUAUUGCCUCACAAGCUGCACACCAGUCACCCAGCUAUCCUGCAAUUAAUUUGGUUUUGUUUUGCACUGAAGUUGACAUACUGUAUUGUACCAAAUGGCCAGAAUGAGGAAAUGUCAAGGGCCUGGAAGAGAACAGCUUGGUGACAGACGUCACCUCCAAUGUGUGCACACCUUCUGUGUGUUAAGGAUUCAAUUAAGCGGCACAUCACACUGAGUGUGUGCCAGCACCUAAUUACCUGUGAGACCUUGCCUGUGAAUAGACUGUGUAUGGAUGACAGCUUUCACAGCACGUUACUGUAUUAGUGAGGAUAACUUUAACAUCUACAUACUGUAGAAUAUAUGUAUAACGGUGUGUGGAUGUGCCUCCUGUCUC